rnacentral:rRNA from 1 species
AUUGAACGCUGGCGGCAUGCCUUACACAUGCAAGUCGAACGGCAGCGCGGGGCAACCUGGCGGCGAGUGGCGAACGGGUGAGUAAAAUAUCGGAACAUACCCUAGAGUGGGGGAUAACGUAGCGAAAGUUACGCUAAUACCGCAUACGCACUAAGGUGGAAAGUGGGGGAUCUUCGGACCUCAUGCUCAUGGAGUGGCCGAUAUCUGAUUAGCUAGUUGGUGAGGUAAAGGCUCACCAAGGCGACGAUCAGUAGCUGGUUUGAGAGAACGACCAGCCACACUGGAACUGAGACACGGUCC